UACGUAGGAUGCGAGCGUUGUCCGGAUUUAUUGGGUUUAAAGGGUGCGUAGGCGGCUUAAUAAGUCAGUGGUAAAAGGUAGCAGCUUAACUGUUUUACGUGCCAUUGAUACUGUUAAGCUUGAGUAUUUAGGAGGCAGGCAGAAUUUCUGAUGUAGCGGUGAAAUGCAUAGAUAUCAGAAGGAAUACCAAUUGCGAAGGCAGCUUGCUGUAAAAUAACUGACGCUGAGGCACGAAAGCAUGGGGAUCAAACAGG
rnacentral:rRNA from 1 species